rnacentral:rRNA from 1 species
CCUACGGGUGGCAGCAGUGGGGAAUAUUGGACAAUGGGCGAAAGCCUGAUCCAGCCAUGCCGCGUGUGUGAAGAAGGCCUUCGGGUUGUAAAGCACUUUCAGUGGGGAAGAAAGCCUUGGGGCUAAUACCCUCGAGGAAGGACAUCACCCACAGAAGAAGCACCGGCUAACUCCGUGCCAGCAGCCGCGGUAAUACGGAGGGUGCGAGCGUUAAUCGGAAUUACUGGGCGUAAAGCGCGCGUAGGCGGUCUGAUAAGCCGGUUGUGAAAGCCCCGGGCUCAACCUGGGAACGGCAUCCGGAACUGUCAGGCUAGAGUGCAGGAGAGGAAGGUAGAAUUCCCGGUGUAGCGGUGAAAUGCGUAGAGAUCGGGAGGAAUACCAGUGGCGAAGGCGGCCUUCUGGACUUACACUGACGCUGAGGUGCGAAAGCGUGGGUAGCAAACAGGAUUAGAUACCCGUGUAGUC